rnacentral:sRNA from 1 species
ACGUGGGAGGUGCUCCAAGGCUGUCGCCGACUUUGAAAGGGUCGUGCACGCCAAAAGGGUGUCCUUUCAUGUUGAAUCCAUCUCACCCCUUUUGUGCAUCACCGCGUGGGCUUCCUCCUCGAGGGGGCUCGCGUUUUUCACACAAACCCCCUUUGUAAACGUCUGUAGAAUGUACUCAUUUUGUUUGCGUUGACGCGCGAUCAAUACAACUUUCAACAACGGAUCUCUUGGCUCUCGCAUCGAUGAAGAACGCAGCGAAAUGCGAUACGUAAUGUGAAUUGCAGAAUUCAGUGAAUCAUCGAAUCUUUGAACGCACCUUGCGCCCCUUGGUAUUCCGAGGGGCACACCCGUUUGAGUGUCGUGAAAAUCUCAACCUCCUCGGUUUCUUCUGGAUGCCGAAGGAGGCUUGGACUUUGGAGGGCUUUGCUGAACUUUCUAGUCCAGCUCCUCUCAAAUGAAUUAGCGAGGUUCCCUUUGCCGAUCCUCGACGUGUGAUAAGAUGCUUCCACGUCUCGGUCGUCGGCUCUGUCGCCUCUUGGGACCUGCUUCCAAUCGUCUCUUGACGAGACAACGUUCGAGCUUGCCUCGACCACGUACCCUUGACCUCAAAUCGGGUGAGACUACCCGCUGAACUUAAGCAUAUCAAUAAGCGGAGG